rnacentral:rRNA from 1 species
CGCCUUUUGAACUAUUUAUAUAAAAGGUCCUGCCUGCCCAGUGACAUCUGUUUCAACGGCCGCGGUAUCAUGACCGUGCAAAGGUAGCGUAAUCACUUGUCUUUUAAAUAAAGACCAGUAUGAAUGGCAAGACGAAAGCCUAACUGUCUCCCUAAGUUAAUCAAUAAAAUUGAUCUUCCCGUGCAGAAGCGGGAAUAAUAAUAUAAGACGAGAAGACCCUGUGGAGCUUUAACUUAAACUAACAAACCAUAAAUGUACUAGCACCAAGUUUUAGGUUGGGGCGACCAUGAGGUAAAAUACAACCCUCAAGAUGUAAAACUAAGAAGGACACUUCAAAUAAAUAUCAAUAGCACAAUUGACCCAAUAAUUGAUCAACGAACCAAGUUACCCCAGGGAUAACAGCGCAAUCUACUCAAAGAGCCCUUAUCGACGAGCAGGUUUACGACCUCGAUGUUGGAUCAGGACCCCCAAAUAAUGCAACAGUUAUUAAAGGUUCGUUUGUUCAACGAUUAAAGUCCU